UACGUAGGUGACCAGCGUUGUCCGGAUUUACUGGGCGUAAAGAGCGCGCAGGCGGUCGUUCAAGUCGAGUGUGAAAGCCCCCGGCUCAACUGGGGAGGGUCACUCGAUACUGAUCGACUUGAAGGCGGGAGAGGGAAGCGGAAUUCCCGGUGUAGUGGUGAAAUGCGUAGAUAUCGGGAGGAACACCAGUGGCGAAGGCGGCUUCCUGGCCUGUUCUUGACGCUGAGGCGCGAAAGCUAGGGGAGCAAACGGGG
rnacentral:rRNA from 1 species